rnacentral:lncRNA from 10 species
GGUCUGCUUAAUUGAUCUAUGAAUGAAUGAAUAAAUAAUCUUUGAAAAACCUGAGAAUGUUGGAAGAAACACCUCCCAUUAGGCUCCAACUCCCAACACUACCACAAAGGAUCAAGUUUCCAGCACAUGAACUGUGGGGAUCACAUUCAAGCUAUAGCAUAUGGUGAAGCUAACAGAUCAGGAGAUGACUGCCCUUGAAAAAGUAGUUUGUAACUCACAAGAAAGCAUGGCCACGAGUCUUUGUUGUGGUUUCCACAGGCAAGACAAGGUAAGCCAAUUUAGGAUUCACUUGCUUAAAUAAUUUCUCAGGCUCUGGGACAUAGUGGUUGUGUCCCUAUUUGUCUGGUACCUGGCACUGGGGUGACCAGGAUGGGAAUACUGACCUGGAGUCUAAGAGCCUGUAUUAUUUAUGUGACUGUUCUUCAUUAGCGGCAUUUCUAGGCCUACCCUUCUCCUAUCUUUUAUUCUGUAUAGAUGGAGGUCUCACUAUGUUGCCCAGGCUGGAGUGCAGUAGGCUAUUCAUAGGCACCA